rnacentral:lncRNA from 1 species
AGAAUGUCCAGUCCUGGGUCAGGUGAGCCUCUGGGCUACCACCUGGACAUUCUGACUGCUCCUGUGUGACUUUGUGCUAGUCACUCACUCAGGGCCAUGUAUACUCUUCUGCCCUCCCAGAAUUACCUUAACAAUAUGGCAGUUAUGAAAACUUCAAUGCAUUGGAUUUAUUUUCUCUUCACUAGAGAAAAGAAGGUAGGACAGAAUUCCAGGCUUCUGCUGUCCCAUUAAAAUAUCUGGCCCUUUGAUUUCUUAAAAAAAUUGUUUUUAGUUGUUGAUUGACCUUUAUUUAUUAUAUGUGGUGCUCACUUAGAAAAAAGAAAAAAAAGAUUUUUAAAGGUUGUAAGAUACUGAGCUACUGAUUCCUUAAUUCUUUUUCUUCCUCCUUUCCUUCCUUCCUCUCUCUUUUUCCUCCUCUUCUUCUUUUUUUAGUCUUUAGUCUAAUCUAAAGUGCCUCACUCAUGCUAGGCAAAAACUCUACCAACUGAGCCACAACCCCAGCCCAUGGCCCUCUGAUUUCUUACUUCUUCGUCUUCUCCUUUUUUUAGAGCAUAAAAGAGAAUUUAUUACAAUGACUUAAGAGUACUGGGGAUGUGGCUCAAGUGGUAGAGCGCUCACCUAGCACGUGUGAGGCACUGGGUUCGAUCCUCAGCACCACAUAAAAAUAAAGAUAUUGUAUCCACUUAAAACUAAAAAAAAUGUAUAUAUAUAUAUAUUUUUUUUUAAAAUAUCUUCUGGAACACACUGGGUAAUUGGAUCCAUGGAGAUAGGAAAGAUACAUUCACUGCUAGAUAUGCCACCUGAAGCAGACAGCAGUGGAGAAAUACUCUCCCCUCCUCCAGCCCUCCAAUCUCGUGUCACAGUCUAAUUGGCCAAACCCAAUAGGAAGGCAACAGAACCCGGAAAAUACAGCAUGUAAUAGUCAGUCCCUAUGGGAUCAAGAAAAGUGUAAUGAACAUAUUUGAGGGAAAAGAUCCAAAGACAUACUUACAUCAAAAGAAAAAACUAGCCCAGUGGCUUUGGAGGCUGAGAGAGGAGGAUCAUGAGUUCAAAAACAGGCUUAGGGCUGGGGCUAUGGCUCAGUGGUAGAGUGCUCGCCUAAAAUACAUGAGGCACUGGGUUCAAUCCUCAGCACCACAUAAAAAUAAAAAAUAAAGAUACUGUAUCCACCUAAAACUAAAAAAAAGACAGGCUUAGCAAAAGCAAGGGGCUAAGUAACUCAGGGAGACCCUGUCCCUAAAUAAAAUACAAAAUAGGGCUGGGGAUGUGGCUCAGUGGUCAAGUGCCCCUAAGUCCAAUCCUGGUAUCCACCAUCCCCCCAAAAAAGAAAAAAAAAAAACACCUAUGAAUUUGUUAUAGGAAAAUAUGUUAUCAAAGUUCAGAAAUUCUCAUUUGAGAAUACUAUUUUAAGUGGUACAGUCUUUUUUAGAAGAUUG